UACAGAGGUCCCAAGCGUUGUUCGGAUUCACUGGGCGUAAAGGGUGCGUAGGUGGCCGGGUAAGUUUGAUGUGAAAGCUCGGAGCUUAACUCCGAAAUGGCAUUGAAUACUAUCUGGCUGGAGGGUCGGAAGGGAGACUGGAAUUCAUGGUGUAGCAGUGAAAUGCGUAGAGAUCAUGAGGAAGACCAGUGGCGAAGGCGGCGCUCUGGAACAUUUCUGACGCUGAGGCUCGAAAGCGUGGGGAGCAAACAGG
rnacentral:rRNA from 1 species